AUAGACGAUAAACAGUCUACAAUAGUUAUUUCAUAGCAAUUGUCUCAGCAGUCUCUCAUCAACACACUUUGUAUACAGAAUUAUAUAAUCAAUAAAAGAUACAGCAAUAUGACUUUUAAAAAAUCCUGGCGAUUUCACACAGUUAACGAGAUUCAAAAAGUAUUUUAGCGACAAUGUUUUGCUUCGAUAAAAUAUUAAGAGAUAACCAGUUUUUUUGAACAGGCAUUUGUUGUCCAUGUAAACCUGUUCAUCAUGAGGUGGUUUGCAAUGACAACGUUAGUCUUCCAGCCUGUAGGAGGCAGUACACGGCUUGCCCGGGUGUUAGAUUACAUGUGGAAGUGGCAAGAAGCUAGUUUCUGUGUCAAGUAAUGCAGUACAUUAUAUCAGCAAAGAUUAAACAAGCGAGAAAAACAAAACAAACUGCUGUCUUGCACUGCACUGAACGUUAAGUUCGUACAUUUCCAUAGUAACCAGAAUGUUCGUAAAUUUAAAGGAUUUGGAGGAGACGCAGGGAGAAAGACGAUUACAGGAUCAUUUUCUCCUACAAGUAAGAAGUAUCAUUUACUAAAAUUAAGAAGUAUCAUUUACUAUUUUUGCAUUUUGAGACCUGACAGAAACAAAGACAAAAUCUGGAAUUGUUAGCAGACCACUCUACCUUUACGAAACACUAAACGUAAGAAAUGUUUCACCGGUAGUUUCAACAUUAUUGUCUGGCUAAGGAAAACAUGCACAAACAACAACAGUUUGCAUAUCGAUUAUCAUAAGUUAAUUUGUUUUCAUGCAAAACUUGUAGCUGCAGAAAUUCUCAGAAGUGCGACUUUGUUGUGUUUUUGAAAUUCAGUGAUAAAUAAAGCAGAGCAUUUCAUUACACGCAGUGAAAAAGCUAAACGUACGGUACUUUUUAUUUCAGUGUAAACAUAGAGCAUGCUCAAAUGUCACAAAUCCAUGGAAUGAGUUGCAAUUGAGCUUGUUAGAUAAAACAAUAGAUACACAAAAAUGCUAAGAAAAUGAAACACGUCAAGCGCUGGUGUUUAUUAAAAUAAAAUAUAAUUUAAUUGAAGGCGCUCAUGCUGCAACACUUAAAACAAAAUACAAUUAUUACAUUUACACCAAAUCUGGAAACAUAAUGAUAAAGUGCUUAUCAAAGGAAGUGCAGGCAAAACUCCGCUUUGGCAUUGCCAUCUUCUCAUUGACCCAGUGUGUGGAGGAGCUUCUCCUGAACAGCAUUGAUGCUGCUGCAACUUGCGUGGCUGUCAGGGUGGAUGUCGAGGCUUGCAAAAUCCAAGUUUUGGACAGUGGUUUCGGUAUGGACAGGGAGGACAUGGAGAGUGUGGGAAACCGGUAUUUUACAAGCAAGUGCAGUACUGUAGAAGAUCUGGAAAACCUGAGGUUUUAUGGUUUCAGAGGGGAGGCUAUUGCAAGCAUAGCUAACCUGGUGGAAAUUUCAUCCAGAACCAGCAGGUCUGCUCAAACCUUUGGUAAAGUCUUUAAGGAUGGCAAGCCGUUGGAUGUCUAUGAGGCUGAAACCACCAGACCAAGCUCAGGCACGACAGUGGUGAUCUGCAAUUUGUUUUACAACUUGCCGGUGCGGAGAAAAAACAUGAAUUCGAUUCUGGAAUGUGAACGGAUAAGGCAGAGGAUAGAAGCAUUCUCUCUUAUGCAUCCCUCUGUUUCGUUCACAUUGAAAAAUGAUUCCACUGGAUCAAUGAUAGUCCAGCUGUCCAAAUCAAAAAGCAGUUAUUACAGGUUUACCCAAAUUUAUGGACUGGGAAAAGCUCAAAAACUUAGAGAGAUCAGCUAUUCCUACAAGCAAUUUGAAAUGAGUGGCUAUAUCAGUCGUGAGGGUCACUAUAACAGCAGCAUGCAGUUUUUAUAUGUAAACAGUCGACUGGUUUUAAAAACCAGGCUUCAUAAAUUAAUAAAUAUUUUAUUGAAGAAAGUGAGUGUUGUCUGCAAGCAGAAAGAAAAAAAAAUGGUCACUACUCCCGCAAGUCCCUCUAGGCACAGGGCUAGUUCAGAGUUGCAGGGGGUGUAUGUUAUUAAUAUUAAAUGCCAUUACUCAGAGUAUGAUGUAUGCAUUGAACCUGCAAAAACCUUAAUUGAGUUUAGAGACUGGGAUGGCGUGUUGGUCUGUGUCGAGGAAGGAGUCAGGAAAUUCCUGACCAGGGAGAAUUUGGUGGCUGAGAUUUCAAGUGAUGACAUACAGGAGUUUAUAGAGGAAGGCAAACUUGCAAUGCAAGCCACCAGCGCCAAUAGCAAUGCUUGCGAGGAAAACGAUAUAGUGGGAAGUUGUAAGUCUGCAUGUGAGAACAUUAUAGAACCUUACGAUAUAAAAACACUGAGAUCUAAAGCUGUUCAUAGGUCACUAGUAUUUGCUUCUAAUGUAAGUGGAAGUAACGGUAAUGAAAAUGUGGCCAGUAGUAGCGAUUUAAAGGAAAAGAUUCCUUUACUUCGGGAUAGAACAAACUCCAGGUCUGUCUUCACAGAUGACAACAGCUCAUCGGCUUCAAAUGUGCAAAGUUUAGAAAAAGAGACCAAUAAAAAUCAGCCUGCUAAAGCGUCAGAAAUCUCAGCACUUUGUGAAACUUCAGAUGUCAAGAAUACUGUUUUGAAGAGUGCAAUAGCGUGACCAAAUUGAAAACAAAUCUGUGUAUAGAAAGCUCUGAAGAUACACUGAAACAGUUUGAAAGCCAGGACAGCAUACUGAUGGACAAUAACAAAGAAACUGAGAAAACCACAGACCUUGAUCCUGCCCUUCAUGUAGAGGGUAAAAGAGCCUGCACACAGAGUGAGGUAAUACAUGCAGAGGGUAGCACAGCGUGCACACAGAGUGAGGUAAUACAUGCAGAGGGUAGCACAGUGUGCACACAGAGUGAGGUAAUACAUGCAGAGGAUAGCACAGCGUGCACACAGAGUGAGGUAAUACAUGCAGAGGGUAGCACAGCGUGCACACAGAGUGAGGUAAUACAUGCAGAGGGUAGCACAGUGUGCACACAGAGUGAGGUAAUACAUGCAGAGGGUAGCACAGCCUGCACACAGAGUGAGGUAAUACAACUCGAGAAGCACAACCCAGCUCCACAAACAGACAAAGCAAUUAACACAGAAUCAGUGAGGCCAAAACUGGGUACAACAGGUUUCAUACAUCAUGUGAUACCAGUAAGGAAUGAAAAUGAGAAUAAAAAUCAUGAGGGGCAGGUGAGGUUUUGUCACCAUGGUCCUGUUAGUGCCCAGGAUAUAUUUAAAGAAAAGCAGCACAACCUGGAACAAAACACAUUUCUGCUUAAGCAGCAAUGUUGUACAUUAACUAUGCAGCACGUAAAGCAAUCUAGCAGUGAAGACUGGAGGACACACUUCAGUUCCAGAGGGGAUACAUUUAGCAACUGUGUAGAUAGUAAUAAACAAUCAGAUGAGUCAAACCGGAAGAUUACAUUAUCUAACAUUUUAAAAACAGUGGAGGAUUUCAAAGGUUCUGUGGACACAAUGGUUGGGUUAUCAACAGGAUCCCAAACCAAACAACGCAGCAAACUGUCCCUGCCUGUGAGAAUAGGAUCCUUGGAUAGGUUUAGAAGGAUGUAUGGAAAAACGUGUCCUUCUGCAGUUCAAUACUCCUGUCAAGAUAGUAACAACAAUUUAAGUACAGCAGCUGCCAGUAAUCCUGCUGAAGCAAAGCGAGAUGCCUCCACUAGUAAUGAAGCGGACAGCUGUAGUAGAUCUAAUAACUCUUCAAAGAACUGGGAAAGGAAUGAUUACACUAAAGAAGAGAAUGCCAUUACUCUUUCUGAUUACACGCAAAUAAAGAAAGCAUCACUAAAUACCAGCAAGCCACACGGGUCCCUUGCUACAAAACUGUCGAAGUUGAAGGGUUAUCAGAAGAACGAUACCAAGGUGCAGCCUGUGGGAGACAUUAGUGUCAGUGGUGCCCAGAAGGAUAGUGGAGAUCUCCAGCUUAUGCAUAGCAAUAACAGCAAUGCAGAAACACCCUCCCAAAUGCCACCCAAUAAAAAAACCCAAGUAACUAAUAAUUGUUUGAAGGGAUGUGAGAGUGGAGAGAAUAACAUUGAACAAACUGUAGAUUUUGAAGGCAACCAAAAAGAAGGCACCGUAAUAAGUGCGACAUAUUUGCAUCCUGAUACUGGGUACAAAGGAUGUGCAUUGAUUGCUCCCAGCCAGUCAGAUGGCGCAGCUCAGUGUCAUUACUGCAAUGAUGACAAAGAGAUUUCUUCUAAAGCUAUUCUCGGCAGUCCAAAAAAAGUGAAUGAAUGCAGUGACCUUGCCACUUGUAAGGCCAGGUUCGAGGAUGCAUCGAAAAGGAAGGAAAUCCCAAGUACCACACAGAGUUCCUCUAAUUGGGUAGAGCACUUUGAUGUGUCUGUGGGAAGGAUGGCUUACAUAAACACAGUGACUGGACUCAGCAAAUAUGUGGCUCCCCCAGAAAAAGAGACCCAAGCGAUCUGUACCACAGACAUAACCACAAUGGCAGUGAAUGUCGUCUCUGAAAAAGGAUUCGAGUAUAGGUGUUACCCCUUUCAGAUAGAGGCAAUAAUCCCUUUUCUUCCAAGACCAAGGGUAGAGAGAGCUAGCUCAGGGCAGGAAAGCAGAGGUGAGGCAUAAAUCACAAUGCUAGGGUCUCAACAGCAGGAACUUUGGAUGUAAUUGUAUCCUGAUAACAUGUGCUAGAGGUUUUGGUGGAUAUGUCCUGAAGCAGGAUUGUGACUUGAGUUAUACCACAAACUCAAUUUAACAUUUCCUUUUUUUCUUUUACAGGAAUAUUUACAAGAACAGAUAGCGGUGAGCGAUAGUGAUUAUUUUGUCAAUUAUAAUACCUAUUUUCUUUUCAACUAUAUGGACAAAAAGCAUUUUUACUGCAUGUUACUUUUUGCUCCUGUUAAUAUCAUAUGUAAUAGAUGUAAGAUUUGGGUUUUUUGUUUUGAAAUGUUUUUUUGUUUGUUUCAAGUUAAUCCAAUCAACAGGUCGGGUGCGAGGGACCCUGCCCCUGACAGUCCUCAAAGUCCUAGCUUCCCAAGCCUG